rnacentral:misc_RNA from 1 species
GGAAAGUCGAAAGAUACACUGGAAGCACGUAAUGAUCUGAAGCAUAUGGAACAACGCGGCGACCUUCACCCGGAACCAAAGGAGAAAGGAAGCCAUUACUUGAGUCCAGCCAGCUACACUCUUAGCAAGGCAGAGAAGGAAAGUAUGUUUGAAUGCUUGGAGAGCAUAAAGGUACCGUCUGGAUACUCCACGAAUAUCAAGCGAAUAAUAAGCACGAAGGAGAAGAAGUUCACAAACCUAAAGUCUCAUGACUGUCACGUGUUGAUGACACAACUGCUACCAGUUGUAAUAAGGGGUAUCCUUCCAGACAAUGUCCGGGCAACAAUAACAAAGCUAUGUGCAUUCAUGAACGCAAUUUCGCAGAAGGUCAUCGAUCCGGAUAGAUUAGAAGCCCUUCAGAAUGAAGUGGU